AUGCUACAUUAAAAUUACAGCGCACAACUUGAGCUUCUAAGGAGUAAAUUUACCUGGGAUCCAUUACAUUUUCUCAGGCAAAACCUUGUUCAUUAGCAAAUCACAUGGCAAGGUUAUGUUUUGUAUCUUCCAUUUUCAACAACAGAUCUUUGACAUCUGCUUCCAUCCUCAUCUUCAUACUGAAGUAUUCCCGAUGAGCCCUUUCCAAAGCCUGGAAUUCUUCAUAUUUUUGUUUCCGCAUUUCCUCGGCCUCAGCAAACCGCAGUUUUGCGAUUCUGCUUCUAUACUCUUCUUCAAUUUUCUCAUUCUUCGCAAUCGCAAUUAGCUUCAGGCCAUCAGCUUCCCUUCUUGCAUCAUCAGCACGUGCCUGAAACAUUUUAGCUUCUGCUUGUUUAAUUCUCACAAUGCUCUCCAGUUCAUCAAAAAUGGGUUCUUUUUGGGCACUCCUCUCCGGCUCAGACUCUACAGGUCGUUUAUCAUUCAAAUCUGUAUGAAAGCUAGGAAGUAGGCUAGUUGAUCUUUCCAAUUUUGGAGCUUUUUCUGAAUAAAGUGAUUUGAGCCACGAGGAAUCCUGGCUAGGCCCAGCAAUCCCCCCAUUGCUUCCAUUUCCUUGUUCCUUCUCAGAGAACACUGAAGGAUUGCCAAACUUGGAAGAAUCAGUUUCGGUCAAGAAGCCUAUGAUAUUACUAUAAACCUCAGAAAGAUUAUGCUUAUUUGCCAAUUUUUCUAGCAUCCGAUUAGCAAUUUCAUGCAGCUGCCUCCCCCUAAAAUCCUUGCUAGCACUAAAAAUUCUCUUCACAUACUCAAGUUCCUUGCAAAAUGUUUCUGCUGUCCACGUCUUUGCAAAGUUCUGAAAAACCUCCUUGACAAACCCAAACAUCUCAGAGGGGUGAUCACAAGCAACACAAUGAAACUGUACCUCACCAGUUCCUUGAGCCCCAGUAGCACUCCUACCAUUUCUAAUGUAUGACUUCCGCAAUGCACAAUCAGCAUGGCACCAAUGAAGACAAACAUCACACCCAACCCAACUACAUGUUUGAUUUGCCAUGUCAAACUUUGAACACACAAGGCACAUACAUGCACUACAAAAACCAUUCUUCCUUGCACAAACUUUGCAAUCACAUUCAUCCACAGGCAAAGGACUCCGACAAGCUAGAUUUCUACAUCUUAAGUUCAGGAAAACCUCCGCCAAAUCAGAAGAUGAAAUAUUAUUGUCUACUUGAAGAUAUUCCCGAAGACCAGUUUUUAAGGCAACCAAGAUUUCUAAUUGAAACCGAUGGGAUUUCAGUAGCAUAUCCAAGGUUAAGUCAGACCUGUUUUGCAGAGCACUCUGAAAUGCAUAUAGUUGUCCUUGCUUAUCAACGUUUAACAUGAUCUCACGGAUACUCUCCUUCACUAGAGAUGCAGAAUGUCCUGUCAUUUCAUGGAAUUUCUUAGCCAUUGCAUGAAUAGGAUCAGACACUAUUCUGCUGAUGAUAGUCUCAACAAAAUCUGCCCCGCCUAUCAAAAGCUGUUCUUGUUCCUUCUGGCUAUUACUCCUAUAUAGGCUGCCACCAUGUUUCUCUCUCAUGGCUCGUUUCUUCUCGAGGCUAUAAUUUGAACCAAUAUCAUGAGAUCCAACACUGUGUGAAGGAGAUCUAAUUUCAUCAGGAUUCCUUGACUGUCCUCCCGACAUAUGCUUAUGAAAACUCAACUGCCUUUCCAGUCCAUUGGCCAUUUUAGAGCUUCCUUGCGAUGUUUGACCAUUUGACAUACCUUGUAAUGCUUGAGCCUGAUGAAAAGAGCCAUUUCCAUUCAUCAAAACUCUUUGAUAUAAGGGAACAUCUUUAAGCUUAGAAUCGUUUUGGGCCUGGCCCUGCCAAAUAGCUUGAUCAACUCCCUGAAAUAUAGGACGACUGUGAACAGAUUGUUCAUAGUUGUCCAUGUCCAAUGAAUUCUGUGUUAAAGAACAGCUUGGGUUGUGAAAAAAUGACUGAGAACCUGAAAAAGACAUAGACGCAGUAAACCCAUCAGAAUUUGUACGAAAUGUGCUAAAAGACUGUACACUUCUCCCGUUGCUAGGGGAACCAGGAGCCUGUGGUGCAUCUUUAGCAGCCCCAAUGGGUAACAAAACAUUGGGUAAGCUAAGAGAAAGAUCAAGCGGCUCCAACACCAGCUUUUCAUCUUUUGGCUUACUAACACCUGAUUGCUCUGCUUUUUGUGCCCUUCUAACAGGAGAGCUAGUGAACAACUCAAAUCCCCUAGUACUUGGUCCUUCCACAUCAUCUUCAUCCCUGCAAGUUGCGAGUUUUCUAGAUUCUCUCCCAAUACAUGCACCAUCUUCAGCAGAAUCAGCACCAAGGGUUGGUGAAAUGGCCACACUUUUGCCUUUAUCCUUCAAACUUUGGCAUGGACCCUCUGUAAUCAGACCAGUAUCCACUUCAGCCCCUCCAUUCUCCUCUUCAAGUUCUUUAUUUGACUCCGGCACUUCAACUUCCUCCACCUUUGCCUCAAGAUCGAUAUCCUUUUCUUGCCUACUUUUACCUUCCAAAAAUAUAGGCUUCUCAAUCACCAUUUCCCGACUUUCAUCCUCCUUGCACCAGCUUGCUUCCUUCAAACUCUCAGCCUCCUUACCGUUUUCAUCAUCAUCCACAUUGCCAGCUUUGUCUUCGGUAACACUAUUAUCAUUUGAAUUCUUCUCACAAUUUUGCAUCUCAUCAACUUCUUUCCCAUCUUUUCCCUCAGAAAUACUUGCUUUAUCAGGUUCCCUUUCUACCUUAUUUACUUGAUCCUUUGCCUCUCUUUCAGGCUCAACCUCUCUGUGAUCAGCAUCAGACAAAACAUUCUCUUGCCCUCCUUUUUCAUUAUCAUUUUUAUCUUUCUUGACAACUUGAUGAACUGAUUCAGGUUCUGGCUCGAGCUCCCCUUCUUCCAUUUCACUACUACUCCCACUAGCAACACUCUUCACCUCCAUUUCAAUGCUCUUAGCCUCCACUUCACCCUUCUUUCCUACCUCCACGCUUUUUGAUUGCUCACUUCCUGAAUCCUUUGACCAUGUGGGUGAUGACCUCGACUUUGAAGUUGAUGAUUUCCCCUUCCCCUCAUCCCUCCCACCGCCUCUCACCACCCUGGUUUGCUCACUCCCAGAAUCCCUAGACCAUGUGGGCGACUUCACAUCCCUCAAUCCCUUAGGAGAAGACCUAGUAGCAGCACUCAUUCUAUCCUCAUUUCCACCUCUACUACCUCUACUCUCUUCAAAUUCCUUACUCCCACUACCGAAUCUUCUCCAAGAUGAAACACUGCCUUCUCUUCUAGACCUGUCCCUCUCAGACCUAAAACCUUUAGGAAACUCCCUCCGGGACCCACAAAAGUUCUCGGAACGAUAAAUACUUCUAUCACUGCCACCACCCACUCCACCUCCACUAUACCCUUCUCUACUACUAUACCUAUCAAACCCUAAGCCUGCCCCUUUUCUCCGAUCAAAGCUAUCGAAAUCAUGAUCCGACCUCUUCCAUACCAUCCUGGAGCUGUCCCGACUAUCAUCAUCCAUAGAUCGAUCCCGAUCAUACCGGCUCGACGAAGAUGACGUGGAUAACAAUCCCUUCCGUACAUUAUCAGAUUUGUAAUAGAAACUUCGAGACGAUCGACUGGGAUUCAAAUCCUUGGCAGAGCUCUUCUCAUUAUAGGACUCGAGCUCGUCACUCGAUCUCAAUCGCUUCAUGUCGAAAUCCCUUCCAAAUUUUAUUUUCACCGCUUCAGCUUAAGAUGAUUUGAACCAAAACAACAUAUUAGGGUUUGUCAAAUUUACACAUUGAACCCCCAAAAACUGAGCUCUGGAGAGAGAACAGAAAAGUUCUAGUGAGAGAAACUAAGAUGCAAAAAACAAAGAAGAAAAUAAGAAACUAAAAUAAGCAGAAACUCCACAAAUUUGGGCCCGGAAAUCUGGAAGUCUUCCCUCUAUCUACAAGAAUUUACGAAGAUGAAACGAGAAGAGGUCUUAUAACGUGAGCGGAGAGAGAAGAUAAAGCCAGCGAAUGAAGGUCGGCGGAGGAAAUCGGCGAGGAGAGAGAGAGAGAGAGGAGAGGAAGGACUUGGGAGAACUGCAAAUUAUACACCAAAAGACACUACUGUGAUGCAAAAAUGGCUAACACAACUCAGAAAAACCACCAUCUCCUUUGCCGACGACCCUUUUUAUCCUUAUUCUGUGAUUGUAUUACAAUAGGCUGGGAAAGGACCCCAUUAUUGAUGUUCUGAAUGUAUGGCCGCACCUUCUCCUCCAAAAUCUCAUUCAACUUUUCCUCGCGCCAUUUAGUUUCCCACUGUGCAUCCAAGAUUUUAUCAGCAAUUUUUCUUUGUGCAUUCAGAAGAACAGUCAUCUCAUAGAAUUUUUCUGGAUUUUUAAGAUCUUCCUCACUCCAGGAUGAUGCAUUCAAUGGAAGGUCCAGCUCCUGUCAACACACUGCAGUUAGCCACACUGCCUUUCAAACAAAUAUUUAAUUAAUAUCUUAAUUUAAUUUUUUUAAAUAAAAUAAUAGUAAAAAAUUAUUAUUAAAAAAUAUAGCUUAAGCUAUCAUUAUCAAAAUAUUUGUUUAAUAGUUUAUUCAAAUAGUAAAACUUACAAAGUAUAACCCGAACCAACUCUCCAAUUUUUAGGUCAUUGCAGGUUGCAAUUGCAUGUGGAUUCGGGUCGGAUUAUGUAGGUCUAAUAAAAAAUUGUCACCUCAAUAUCCAAACAGAAUCAUAUUCUCGUCAUUUCCAUUUUUCUCCAAAUAUUUUCAUGCUAAUGAAAAGAAAGGAGAACUCAUGGGAGUUUUUGUUGAUGUCAUUGUUUAAUUAGUGACUGAAUCUUCUUUUCUUUUGCCUGAUCAUUAUAAACAUUGAAGAAUAAGAACCGAUGGAUAGAGUGAAGAUGACAAAUACUCACGCCCCAAUUUUGUGGUCGUGGUGGAGGGUCAAAUUUCAUGACCUCUACCUCUAGUGCCUUUUUGGCCUUGUAGUAUGGGAUAUUUUUCACAAUCACAGGAUCUUCUCUGGCACGGACAGGAUCUAUAGAUAUCAAGGCUUCCUGCAAGUGCUCCCACCCUGGUUUUCGCUUUGCUACCAAAUCUCGUAGUUGAUCAUAUCGCACAGAUUCCUUGUACUGCCACCAAAUUUUUUGCUUUACAUCAUCAUCAUAGUUGAAUCCACCCACAAUUUGAGGUAAGGAAAAUAACCAAAAAGCAGCAAUACUGGGAUCUUUCAUACUGUCUACUAUAUGCUCAUAAGGAUAGUCCAUCUUUCUCAAGACGUUAUAGGCUUUCCAUGGAGGUUCCAUAAUAUCAUCUGCAGAUAUCCUGACUUGUAAUUUGUCUUUGCAUUCAGGACAGCCCAUCACACCCGUUCCAUCACAAGUUGGACAGUCUUUAGAUGGCAAAGGAAUAUUAAGAUCCACAGUGGAUGGAAGGUGCACCAACUCCACUCGGUUGUCAGCAAUAGCAUCUGCUACACAUUCAGCCGUUGCCUUCUCUCCACUCCUCAAGGUGUAAUUUUUCACUUGGUAAUGCACUUUCCCUGAUCCUUUGCACAUAUUACACCGCAAUGCCUGCCACCCAUUGCAAGUCCGACAAUUCCUUUGACAUAUCACCUUCUUUCCCAGCUCCAAAGCAAUAUCGUAGGUUCCAAGCGUAGCAACAGCAAAGACAGAAAGAUAAGAGAGCUUGGAUAUGAGCUCAGGGACACCAAAGCCGCGAGGAGCAGAGCCAGCAAUGUCAAAGGCAAGAGUGAAAGGAGACAAGACCACCUUAAUUGGGAACUCGAAAAUGUCAAUCAAUUGCUGGCCAUAAUGGGAUGUUAUGUGCUUGUAUUGCCUGUCUGCGAACUGCUUCACAUUCUUUAUGAGACGUUCUGUUCCUCUUGACAUGGCUGAGGCCUACGCCGACGGAAGAGACGACAGGAGCAGAUAAGAGUUU
rnacentral:misc_RNA from 1 species